ensembl:lncRNA
UGCGCCAUUAGAUGAACGCGGGGAGCAGGAGGCAGCAAGAGUUUUUCUUACUCAUACGUUUUUCUCCUUAUGUGACGGUGGUUAAGAUUGUCGUUCAUUUGACAGUGUACAGACACUGUUUUGGGAUAUCAAAAUCCAUAUUUUUUACUUUGUUCGUUUGCAAUUACAUUAGUAAGGCGGAAGGAGAAUAACAGUCCUAGUGCUCCAUCAUCAUGGCUGAUGACUUUGACAUAGAAGAAAUGCUUGAGGCUCCGUAUCGAAAGGUGGGUUUUGGCCUAUGGUUAUUAUAAUACUAUAUUGUAAAUAUUGUGGUGGUCAAAAGUCACCUCUUUGCCCGAGACCCUACAUUUCUAGACAAGUAGCUUAUUCUAUGUGUGUCUAAUUUUGUUGCUGCCGUUCCUUUUCAGACUAUGAAUAAAUGCCCAUCUAUCUCUUUUUGUAGACUUGCCUAACGAUAUCUCACCUCUACUUCCAUGAAUUCCAGUGUGAUCUAUCAAAAAAUGAAGGUAGUAAUUGCCCAAUGUAUUGCUGUACUGUGGUCCCCUGGUAACAUUUAUUAUGGUCAACGAAUGGCCAGUCUACAAGGCGAAUGCAGUGGAUGCACAAGAACAGAAUUUCGGAACUGGGUUUGUGAUCAGGCCUAGUUGGCAUUCUAUUAUAUAUAUAUACACUACCGUUCAAAAGUUUGGGGUCACCUAGAAAUUUCCUUGUUUUCCAUGAAAACAUACAUGAAAUUAGUUUGAAUAUUUAAUAUAGCAAAAUGAAUAGGAAAUAUAGGUUAGUAAUAAUGAAUUUUAAUAAUUGAAAUAAUCAUUGUCCUUCAAACUUGCUUUCGUCACAGAAUCAAUUUUUUUUUAGCAAUUCCUGCCUUGUAGCUCUUUGGUGUUCUAGUUGUCAAUUUAUUUAGGCAAUCUGAAGAGAUUUCACCGGAUGCAUCCUGAAGCUUCUCCCACAAGUUGGAUUGGCUUGAUGGGCAUACGGUCAUACCAUAUGGUCAAGCUGCUCCCACAACAGCUCAAUAGGCUUGAGAUUUGGUGACUGCUGGCCACAUAGACAGAAUACCAGCUGACUGUUGCUUCCUUAUAUUGUUGUUGCAUAGUUUGGAGCUGUGCUUUGGGUUAUUGUCCUGUUGUAGGAGGAAAUUGGCUCCAAUCAUGUGCCAUCCAGAGGGUAUGGCGUUGCAAAAUGGAUUGAUCACCUUGCUUCCUCAAUAUCCCUUUUACCCUGUACAAAUCUCCCACCACCAAAGUGCCCCCAGGCCAUCACAUUGCCUCCACCAUGCUUGACAGAUGGCGUCAAGCACUCCUCCAGCAUCUUUUCAUUUGGUCUGUGUCUCACGGAUGCUCUUCUUUGUGAUCCUAACACCUCAAAUUUAGAUUUGUCUGUCCAUAACACUUUUUUCCUAUCUUCCUCUGUCUAGUGUCAGUGUUCUUUUCCCAUCUUGAUCUUUCCUUUUUAUUGACCAGUCUGAGAAAUAGCUUUUUCUUUGCAACUCUGCCUAGAAGGCCAGCAUCCUGGUGUCGCCUCUUCACUGUUGAUGUUGAGACUGGUGUUUUGCAGUUAGUAUUUAAUGAAGCUGCCAGGUGAGAACCUGUGAUGCAUCUGUUUUUCAACCUGGACACACUAAUGUACUUGUCCUCUUGCUAAGUUGUGCACUGGGGCCUCCCUUUUUUACUAUUUUGAUUAGAGUCAGUUUGUGCCAUUCUGUGAUCGGAGUAGUACACGGUAGGGCUGCACAAUUAAUCAAAAUAGAAACAAAACCGCCAACUUACGCAAUUUUCAGCUCCAAAAAAGGUGAAUGAUCUGCGCUUUAUGUGAGGCAACGGGCAUGCAUUAUACAUACGUAAUUAUUUUUCUUGCAGGUGCUGUAGGCAUUUUUGUAGAUUACUUAAAUACCUGGACUAAUGUUGUUUAAAUACUUAGUUUUUCAAUCAUAGUUUCAGUUAACACUGCAACUGCCAGCAAAGCUGUCCGCUUCAAGUUCGCGAGGGGUGCCAAGAUAUAUUGUCCCCGAUACACAAAAGCAUGUUUAGUAAAUGUUUCAGCUUCAAUGUUGGUGCCUACAAACAAACUUAAUAUGGGAGAAAAUAUACCUCACAGGUUGAGAAAUGUUGCCUAGCCAACACCAUUGCAUUAAAUGAGCAGUUAAACGAAUAGUUUGACACAGGCUGCACCUUCAAAUUGGUAAGAAGUGUAAAAUAGAAAACACUGAACUUUGAUUUCUAUUAAGUUUAAUGGCAC